GGAUGAACGCUGGCGGCGUGCCUAAUACAUGCAAGUCGAGCGAAUGGAUUAAGAGCUUGCUCUUAUGAAGUUAGCGGCGGACGGGUGAGUAACACGUGGGUAACCUGCCCAUAAGACUGGGAUAACUCCGGGAAACCGGGGCUAAUACCGGAUAACAUUUUGAACCGCAUGGUUCGAAAUUGAAAGGCGGCUUCGGCUGUCACUUAUGGAUGGACCCGCGUCGCAUUAGCUAGUUGGUGAGGUAACGGCUCACCAAGGCAACGAUGCGUAGCCGACCUGAGAGGGUGAUCGGCCACACUGGGACUGAGACACGGCCCAGACUCCUACGGGAGGCAGCAGUAGGGAAUCUUCCGCAAUGGACGAAAGUCUGACGGAGCAACGCCGCGUGAGUGAUGAAGGCUUUCGGGUCGUAAAACUCUGUUGUUAGGGAAGAACAAGUGCUAGUUGAAUAAGC
rnacentral:rRNA from 2 species